GACGAACGCUGGCGGCGUGCUUAACACAUGCAAGUCGAACGGAAAGGCUCCAGCUUGCUGGCGUACUCGAGUGGCGAACGGGUGAGUAACACGUGGGUAAUCUGCCCUGCACUCUGGGAUAAGCCUGGGAAACUGGGUCUAAUACUGGAUAUGACCUUUCUCCUUAUGGGGUGUGGUGGAAAGUUUUUCGGUGUAGGAUGAGCCCGCGGCCUAUCCGCUUGUUGGUGGGGUGAUGGCCUACCAAGGCGACGACGGGUAGCCGGCCUGAGAGGGUGAUCGGCCACAUUGGGACUGAGAUACGGCCCAGACUCCUACGGGAGGCAGCAGUGGGGAAUAUUGCACAAUGGGCGGAAGCCUGAUGCAGCGACGCCGCGUGAGGGAUGACGGCCUUCGGGUUGUAAACCUCUUUCAGCAGGGACGAAGCGUAAGUGACGGUACCUGCAGAAGAAGCACCGGCUAACUAUGU
rnacentral:rRNA from 1 species